UCUCUGUUUACAGCAGAAAUGCCUGAGGCUCAGAGGGGCCAAGAUCCCAAAUAAGGUCGCCAGCGAGUUGUGAGCACAGAGGAAACUGACCCUGGUCUCCUGGCCACCUCUCCACGCUGCUGCUCCGCUGUUUUCCUCACAGCACAUACAAGGAACCUUUUCUCUUUGACACUUUCCCCUGGGCUUCCGAGUUUAUAUUCUUGUCUCUCUAUUCUCUGACCUCCCACUGCCCUGCCUGCUUCAAGCAGUUGUUUGUCUGUCCAUUCGUCCUUCCAUCUAUCUAUCCAUCCAUGCGCUCAUUCCUUGAUCAAGGGUUUAAGAACACCUCCAUGUCCCAGGCUCUGUUCUGGGCCAGCCAGACCUGGGUCUUGCAUGUUCUAGAAAACAGCAGAGACUUCAAAUGGAGACUCUCCCCAUCAUCCCAGAAGGCCUGUGAUUCAGGCCAUAAUGGGAAAGCACGAGGGCGAAUAGUGUGUGUGAGUCCUGGCCUGCUGGGAGAAGCAGGGAACUCUCUACAGGGAGUGACGUUAUUCUACCCCCUCCUUAAGUGCCACUGGUUCCUCAAGGUUAGGGACCUCAAGAUCUAGCCCUCUGUGUCUUCCCAACAAAAGCAUAGUAGUGGGGGCCCAGUGGUGCUCUGUGAAGCCUGGGGAGAUGAGUCGGGAGUCAGACGAGCAUGGCUUAUGGACACAGCUACAGUGAUGAAGCUUGGGGCAAAUUCUUUAACCCUCUUGAGCCUCAGUUUCCUCAUCUGUAAAGUGAGGAUGUAGGUGGCCCACCCUACAUCUAGGAAAUGGGGACAAAUAUACAGUCCCUUCUUUCCUUGGACUUGACACUGGGAAGACUCGUUUCUCAAGCCCUCCAGCUUGUUCCUUGUUCUGGCUUUUUGUUCCUUUUUAAUCUUGUGGUGCAAACGAAUAACAGGCUGACAUGAUAUGACUGAUAUGAAGUGGUUGUUAUUGUUGAAAAGAGCACCAGUUUUGAAAUCACAGGCUCGAGGGCUGCUUUUACCCCAAGUAACCGUGUGGACUUGGGCAAGCUUCUGUCUCCAAACCUCAUUUUCUCAUCUGUAAAAUCAGUCCACCUGUCUCCCAGAUGAUGGAGGUAUCAGAUGUCAGCGCUUGGAACUAUUGAGCAUUGUAACCUGGGUGAACUCCAUAGCAGGCUGAGGGUCUAACAAGAAAAUGGGUGGGAUGGAGGCCAGGCCAUCCAGCCCGGUGCCCCAGCUCUGGCCAUUAGCUGUGUGAGACCCUCGGCUCUUAUGCUGCGGAUUUCCAUCAGAACGAACAAGCAGCACUUGGGUGCAGGGGGCUGUGUUGUGGAGGGAGGGCCCAGCUGGUUCCCAGAUGCAGGCACGGCUACUGCAUGAGAGGACCUGGGAGGGCUCAUUACU
ensembl:lncRNA